rnacentral:rRNA from 1 species
UACGAACCGUCCAAACGUUAUUCGGAAUUAUUGGGCUUAAAGGGUAUGUAGGCGGCGCUGUUAGUCGGGUGUGAAAUCCCUCGGCUCAACCGAGGAAUUGCGCCCGAAACUGCAGUGCUUAGGGAGACAGAGGUAAGCGGAACUGAUGGUGGAGCGGUGAAAUGCGUUGAUAUCAUCAGGAACACCGGUGGCGAAAGCGGCUCACUGGAUCUCUUCUGACGCUGAGGCACGAAAGCUAGGGUAGCGAACGGG